CAUAAUGACAACAAUAACAAAAGAUUAGUAUCAAGGAAAGAUACCACAGAGGAGUUUUGAGAGACCUAUAUAGUAUAUAUUUUUGGCAGCUGAAUCUGUCCAAUCUUUGAUGCCCUAAGAAUGAGAUAAUAUGUCAUCUGGAGCAAAACUAGCCGCUGGAGAAGAUAAAUCACACAGUCCAACAGCAGGAUGAUUUUGGAGGUGCUUAGCCUAAACAGUCCUUCCUUGCCUCCAAGGCCAGAGUGACUCCAGUACCUUUAAGUUUUACUCCCAAGAGAACAUGGUCUGAUCCAGGACCAGCCUUAAACUCCUUAAGAUUAGAGCUAAUCUUCCUACAGACCAUCAUGGGCUGUGGGAAGGAAUUAGACCAUAAAAUUAACCAAGGCUUAAAAGGGCCUUUCAGAGUCAGCUCAUGCCAGACCAAAAUCAAGUCAUUUACUUUCAGGAGUGUCUUACAUGUCAGGUUCUGAUUUUAGG
rnacentral:lncRNA from 1 species